GAUCUGAAUAUUGAACUCUCAGCCACCCUGGCUGCCGGCAUGCUGCCAUGCUCCCCGCCAUGAGGAUAAGCCUCUGAAACUCACACAGAGGGGAUCCCACAUCGGUGGAGAGCAUCGACUUCACUGCUCCAGUGGCAGCAUUUUGAAAGAAGAAGACAGGAAACUGAAUGGCAACAACAGUCCACGGGCCUCUUGGCUGAACUGCAGCGUGUGUGGACAGAAGGCAAGAGACCCUUGAAGAAACAAGCAAGCACUCUCCAGUAAGCAGCUUGUACAAUCACUGUCUCCAUGACACGUGGUCAUAAUCGGAGGCCCUGCUAUGUCUCAAACUACUGGCACCCCCAAUCCCUCUGAGACGACACUUGUCUAUCUCCCUUCCUCCUGGCAGUCCCUGGUCUCCCUGCUGCCUAGGCCUCUUCUCCUUCCCCUGCCCUGCGGCUCCUGUCACAGCUGUGGAAGUACAGCUGCUGAGGGAAGGGCAGGACUUGGCUUCUCUCCCAAUGUAAACAAUUAGGCAAGCAUUAACUUUUCUCUUAAUGGGCAAAGCAACAUUAAGCAGAUGGAAGCCCAGACAUGGGCCACUUUGCAGAGAUCCAAAGCUGUGGUGAGGCCUCAAAUAUGAUCUCGAAAUUGAAACUUAA